rnacentral:rRNA from 1 species
AGAGUUUGAUCCUGGCUCAGAACGAACGCCGGCGGCGUGCUUAACACAUGCAAGUCGAAACGCGAAAAGUUUCUCCGGAAAGACGAGUAGAGUGGCGCACGGGUGAGUAACGCGUAAGUAAUCUACCCCGGCAUCUGGAAUAACUCACCGAAAGGUGUGCUAAUACCGGAUACGUUGGUGACAAGAAAGGUGGCCUCUGCAUAUGCUACCGUGCUGGGAUGAGCUUGCGUACCAUUAGCUAGUUGGUAGGGUAAAGGCCUACCAAGGCGACGGAUGGUUAGCGGGUCUGAGAGGAUGAUCCGCCACACUGGAACUGGAACACGGACCAGACUCCUACGGGAGGCAGCAGUGAGGAAUAUUGCGCAAUGGGGGCAACCCUGACGCAGCGACGCCGCGUGGAUGAUGAAGGCCUUCGGGUCGUAAAGCUCUGUCAGUAGGGAAGAAGUGUAAGGGUGCUAAUACCAUCUUUACUUGACGGUACCUACAAAGGAAGCACCGGCUAACUCCGUGCCAGCCGCCGCGGUAAUA